rnacentral:tRNA from 2 species
GGAAGCGUCGGAUAGUGGUUUAUUCCACCGCCUUGGAAAGGCGGCAUACCGCAAGGUAUCGAGAGUUCGAAUCUCUCCGCUUCCGCAA